AGAGUUUGAUCAUGGCUCAGGACGAACGCUGGCGGCGUGCCUAACACAUGCAAGUCGAGCGAGGAACUUCGGUUCCUAGCGGCGGACGGGUGAGUAACACGUGGGUAACCUGCCUCAAAGAGGGGGAUAGCCUCCCGAAAGGGAGAUUAAUACCGCAUAAUAUUAAAUUACCGCAUGGUAGUUUAAUUAAAGGAGUAAUCCGCUUUGAGAUGGACCCGCGGCGCAUUAGCUAGUUGGUGAGGUAACGGCUCACCAAGGCCACGAUGCGUAGCCGACCUGAGAGGGUGAUCGGCCACAUUGGAACUGAGAUACGGUCCAGACUCCUACGGGAGGCAGCAGUGGGAAAUAUUGCACAAUGGGCGAAAGCCUGAUGCAGCAACGCCGCGUGAGUGAUGAAGGCCUUCGGGUUGUAAAGCUCUGUCUUUGGGGACGAUUAUGACGGUACCCAAGGAGGAAGCCACGGCUAACUACGUGCCAGCAGCCGCGGUAAUACGUAGGUGGCAAGCGUUGUCCGGAUUUACUGGGCGUAAAGGAUGCGUAGGCGGACAUUUAAGUCAGAUGUGAAAUACCCGAGCUUAACUUGGGUGCUGCAUUUGAAACUGGAUAUCUAGAGUGUGGGAGAGGAAAGUGGAAUUCCUAGAGUAGCGGUGAAAUGCGUAGAGAUUAGGAAGAACACCAGUGGCGAAGGCGACUUUCUGGACCAUAACUGACGCUGAGGCAUGAAAGCGUGGGGAGCAAACAGGAUUAGAUACCCUGGUAGUCCACGCCGUAAACGAUGGGUACUAUGUGUAGGGGGUAUCGACUCCCUCUGUGCCGCAGUUAACACAAUAAGUACCCCGCCUGGGGAGUACGGUCGCAAGAUUAAAACUCAAAGGAAUUGACGG
rnacentral:rRNA from 1 species